GUUACCUUGCUGAUGGUGUCCCGUAUGGCCAGUAUGUUCUCUACUGGGUUAGGACAGGUUAAGGGUUGUUACCUUGCUGAUGGUGUCCCGUAUGGCCAGUAUAUUCUCUACUGGGUUAGGACAGGUUAAGGGUUGUUACCUUGCUGAUGGUGUCCCGUAUGGCCAGUAUAUUCUCUACUGGGUUAGGACAGGUUAAGGGGUGUUACCUUGCUGAUGGUGUCCCGUAUGGCCAGUAUAUUCUCUACUGGGUUAGGACAGGUUAAGGGGUGUUACCUUGC